AAAGUCGUAACAAGGUUUCCGUAGGUGAACCUGCGGAAGGAUCAUUACCUUUCCAUGCAGCAGAGUUGGGAUGGCUGAGUUUCUCGCCUCUCAGGUCUGCUUGUAUUCUACCCUUGUUUGUCAUAUACUAUAAUUUCCUCGGCAGGCUUGCUUGCCGAGUGAAACCAAUUAUAACCUAUUGAAUUUUCAAUCAGCGUCUGAAAAAAUUAAUAAUUACAACUUUCAACAACGGAUCUCUUGGUUCUG
rnacentral:misc_RNA from 1 species